GGGAUCGAAGAUGAUUAGAUACCAUCGUAGUCUUAACCAUAAACUAUGCCGACUAGGGAUUAGCGGAGUUUUUAAAUGUCUCUGUUAGCACCUUAUGAGAAAUCAAAGUUUUUGGGUUCCGGGGGGAGUAUGGUCGCAAGGCUGAAACUUAAAGGAAUUGACGGAAGGGCACCACCAGGAGUGGAGCCUGCGGCUUAAUUUGACUCAACACGGGGAAACUUACCAGGUCCAGACAAAGUAAGGAUUGACAGAUUGAGAGCUCUUUCUUGAUUCUUUGGGUGGUGGUGCAUGGCCGUUCUUAGUUGGUGGAGUGAUUUGUCUGGUUAAUUCCGAUAACGAACGAGACCCCAACCUGCUAACUAGACUAGAGUAUUUCACGAUACUUUAGCGCUUCUUAGAGGGACAUUUCGGAUCUACCGGAAGGAAGUUUGAG
rnacentral:rRNA from 1 species